UCGAGGAGUGCGCUUAGAGGAAACCGAACAGAGUUGAUCAGCAACUGGAUUUAUCCGUCAGCAGGCAAAGAUGGAUCGUCUCAUCUUGGUACUUUUAAUGGUCCAUGCCAUGAUAUCUCCAGUAGUGAUGCAGGUAGUGGCCGACACAGAAAAGCAAAUUGAAGAAGCGAAUGAUAUUCAGGUGGCUGGUUACAUCAAGAUUAAUGGACAAGGAGAAGGAAAGAGCGAGAAAAGCCAAGAAAAACCAGAACAG